GUCUACGGCCAUACCUAGGUGAAAACACCAGUUCCCGUCCGAUCACUGCAGUUAAGCGUCUGAGGGCCUCGUUAGUACUAUGGUUGGAGACAACAUGGGAAUCCGGGGUGCUGUAGGCU
rfam:Schizosaccharomyces pombe chromosome III, complete replicon